rnacentral:tRNA from 1 species
CGCGGUGUAGAGAAAUUGGUAUCUCGCGUGGUUCAUACCCACGAAGUUGGGGGUUCGAGUCCUCCCACUGCAA